rnacentral:misc_RNA from 1 species
GAUGAAGAACGCAGCGAAAUGCGAUAAGUAGUGUGAAUUGCAGACUUUAGUGAAUCAUCGAAUCUUUGAACGCACAUUGCGCCCCUUGGUAUUCCAUUGGGCAUGCCUGUCCGAGCGUCAUUGCUGCCCUCAAGCACGGCUUGUGUGUUGGGCCUCCGUCCUCCUCCCGGGGGACGGGCCCGAAAGGCAGCGGCGGCACCGCGUCCGGUCCUCGAGCGUAUGGGGCUUCGUCACCCGCUCUUGUAGGCCCGGCCGGCGCUUGCCGACACAUCAAUCUUUUUUCCAGGUUGACCUCGGAUCAGGUAGGGAUACCCGCUGAACUUAAGCAUAUCAAUAAGCGGAGGA